rnacentral:rRNA from 1 species
GACAGAGGGGCAAGCGUUGCUCGGAAUCACUGGGCGUAAAGGGCGCGUAGGCGGGAUGGCAAGUCAGUCGUGAAAUCUCUCGGCUCAACCGAGAAAACGUCGGCUGAUACUGCCGUUCUUGAGGGAUGCAGAGGAGACUGGAAAUUCCCGGUGUAGUGGUGAAAUGCGUAGAUAUCGGGAGGAACACCAGUGGCGAAGGCGGCUUCCUGGCCUGUUCUUGACGCUGAGGCGGCGAAAAGCUAGGGGAGCAAACGGGG